UCCUCUGCUUCACGGAAACUAACGUUAAUGAUACAGCUUUCGAAUAGUUCAAAGUUCAAACUUUAUUUAAAAAAAAAAUAAAAAUACACAAUUUCUGGUAACACAUGCAUGCCGAAUAUAAGCGACGAAUCUAAAGAUGUGUAUACAGCCGUAAAUUAAUCAUAUUGUGACAGGUCUUACCUGUAACUUUGCCCGGGAGGACCCCAACAACAGAUAAGAAACAGAAGAAGACACCUGCUACCUUCUUCUUCUUCUUCUUCUUCUUCUUCUUCGUCUUCUUCGUCUUCUUCUUCUUAGUCAGCCAAGUUGCUACAUUAGCGCCCUCUCGUGUGCGGUCAACAAGCCAUUGAGUGAGUCGACCAGAUUCCAGAGACCAGAGUCGACUCGCAAUUUGGUCAUUUGGGGCCGUUGCUGUCGAGAGGAAAUCCUGCGGGAAAUAUUUGGCUAUUUGCCGCUAAAUGCUCAGCGUACUCCUGGCAACUCCAAUGUAACCCAUCCACAUCAGUAUCAUCUGUUACCAUUACUGGAUUGAGAGUUUAGGAUGUCCUGCUCUUCACAGUGCUGCAGAAUCCCAGAGGAGGCUCCAGCACAAAGUUACACAACUGGCCUCUCUGUCUGCCGUGCUACAUUAAUCUUCCCCUGGUUGCAGAAAUCUCCCUUUAACAUCUUCCUCAUGGGUGUCCGCUGUGUGUGUGUGUGUGUGUGUGUGUGUGUAUGUGUUUGUGCAUGCAUGUGUGGGUGGACAGGGUAAUUGGUCCAGUGAAUGUGCCCAGGUCUGCUCAGGCCAAACGCUGCUGCAGUGUACAUACAGUGUAUUUGCUGUGCUGAGCUGUGGGGGUGUGGGAAAGCGAUCAGAGUGGACUUUAGAGGAAACUGUGGAAGAAUGAGGAAAUUGCAGACAGAUAGGACUAAUGGUUGCGCUGAGGGAAGAGGUUGUAGGGCCAACAGCUGCUAGCCAUCCAUCUGGACCAGCCCUGAGUGCUGGACGAGACCACUCCGCAGUGACGUAUUCACCUUCUGGGGACGGGUGCACUGGGACUUUCCAUCAGAGCAGGCUACAUAAGU